AGAGUUUGAUCAUGGCUCAGAUUGAACGCUGGCGGCAGGCCUAACACAUGCAAGUCGAACGGUAACAUUUCUAGCUUGCUAGAAGAUGACGAGUGGCGGACGGGUGAGUAAUGCUUGGGAACUUGCCUUUGCGAGGGGGAUAACAGUUGGAAACGACUGCUAAUACCGCAUAAUGUCUUCGGACCAAACGGGGCUUCGGCUCCGGCGCAAAGAGAGGCCCAAGUGAGAUUAGCUAGUUGGUAAGGUAACGGCUUACCAAGGCGACGAUCUCUAGCUGUUCUGAGAGGAAGAUCAGCCACACUGGGACUGAGACACGGCCCAGACUCCUACGGGAGGCAGCAGUGGGGAAUAUUGCACAAUGGGGGAAACCCUGAUGCAGCCAUGCCGCGUGUGUGGAGAAGGCCUUCGGGUUGUAAAGCACUUUCAGUUGUGAGGAAAAGUUAGUAGUUAAUACCUGCUAGCCGUGACGUUAAUAACAGAAGAAGCACCGGCUAACUCCGUGCCAGCAGCCGCGGUAAUACGGAGGGUGCGAGCGUUAAUCGGAAUUACUGGGCGUAAAGCGCACGCAGGCGGUUUGUUAAGCUAGAUGUGAAAGCCCCGGGCUCAACCUGGGAUGGUCAUUUAGAACUGGCAGACUAGAGUCUUGGAGAGGGGAGUGGAAUUCCAGGUGUAGCGGUGAAAUGCGUAGAUAUCUGGAGGAACAUCAGUGGCGAAGGCGACUCCCUGGCCAAAGACUGACGCUCAUGUGCG
rnacentral:rRNA from 1 species